AGGCUCUCUCCUCUCAGUAGCAUGGUCCUACACAGCCAACAGCAUUCUCCUAACUCUGUCCCCAGAUCCCAAACUUUCAGAGUGCUGUCUCUGCUGAUGCUGUGGAAUGUCUGUGAGAGCAAUUUCUAAUCAAGACCCACACAGUGAAAAUCUAUACAAUGGAUUUUGGACUCACGCAACCAUCAAUCUAACUUCAUGAAAACAAAGGUUACCCAAAGCAGGAAAAUGAGAGGAAGAACUAUGAGUGAAGAAAUAAACACGUUGAAGCUGUAAACUUCCAAACCAAAAGCAUGAUGAAAGCCAUUUACCAUGUAUUCUCUUUGAAGCUGCUACCUGGAAGCUUCAUCUACAUGACAAGAACUUUGGCUUCCACAACCGCCCACCUUAACUUAACUCAAGCUGACUUCACCUAUUCAGGAAGAGUUUAACUCUUUCAGCUGAUUGCCAAUCAGAAAAUCUUUGAGUCUGACUGGAUGCGGUGGCUUAUGUCUGUAAUCCCAGCACUUUUGGAGGCCAAGGCCGGUGGAUCACCUGAGGUCAGGAGUUUGAGACCAUCCUGGCCAACAUGGCAAAAUCCCAUCUCUACUAAAAAUACAAAAAUUAGCUGGGUGUGGUGGUGCAUACCUGUAAUACCAGCUACUCAGGAGGCUGAGGCAGGAGAUUUGCUUAAACCCAGGAGGCGGAGGUUGCAGUGGGCUGAGAUCACACCAUUGCACUCCGGCCUGGGUGACAGAAUGAGACUUCAUCAAAAAAAAAAAAAAAAAGAAGAAGAAAAAAAAGGGAAAUUUUUGAAUCCACUUAUGAUCUUGGACCCCCCCCCCAACCUCCCUAACUCUCCCCACCCCACCCCCACUUUGAGAUGUCCUGCCUUUUCAGGUUGAAUCAAUGUAUAACUUACAUGUAUGGACUUAUGUCUUUAUCUGCAACUUCUGUUUUUCUAAAUUGUAUAAAUUCUAGCUAUAACCCAACCAACUUGGGCACAUGUUCUCAGGAUCUCCUGAGGCUAUGUCAUGGACCAUGUCCUUAACUUUGGCAAAAUAAACAUCUAAAUUGAUUGAGACCUGUCUCAGAUACUUUUAGGUUUACAUGGGGUGUUUGUGAAAUUUCGGUACAUGUGUAGAACGUGUAAUGAGAUGAUUCUGGAGACUCUCUGCAAUAUAAUUUUUUCCUAAGACUGAUUUCUGCUGUG
rnacentral:lncRNA from 10 species